CGGGAUUAAAACCACGACCUACCCUUGUAGGAUUUCAACUUCACUAAUGAGCAAACUUCAGAUUACAAACUAUUGUAACCUAAAAAUUAACCUCUUAAUCCCUCACUAACUUGUAACAACUCUCUUACAAGCCUCUUUGUAAUAACUCUAUUAUAAAGCUUACAACUCGACUAACUCUAGCCAAGACACAAACACAAGGUUUAUGAUUUUACAAAGAUUUUCUACACAAUGCUUCUAACUAAGCUAAGUAGGAAUUACAAGUAAAGUGUUUUAAUAAAGGUGCAACACAACUUAGGACAUGUAAUGACUCAAUACAGGAAACUGGUCCUUCGUUACGUUGUUCUUUGUUCUUGAUGCCCUUGAGAAUCACUUGCAAGAUUGACACAAACUUGAGAGAAUGCUUGAUCGAUUCUUGAAUGUGCAAGUGUUUGUUUACUUUUGCUUGAUGUUAAUAAUUUAUUUGUGACAUCACUUGAAUGAUGCAAGCAAGUUAGGUAAAGGGCAUUCCCCAUAAAGUUGACUGUUGCACUGUUUUUGCACUGUUUCGUGUGCAAGCAGCAACUUUACAUCUGUGGAGAGUUGACUUGUACAGUCACCAAGGGAACUGGUGGUCAUCUGUUCCCUCUGUUAUUUCUUUGACUCUGAAGAGUUGAACCACGUCCCUGACUUGAGACUUGUUGUUCUUUAAGUACUUGAAGAUGUGUAACAAUUUGCUUAUCUGGUUCUUAUCAUUAAGUUUGUUAGAUUAUCAAAACAUAACAGGGAUACAUAUAACCUAUCAACACCCUUUUCUCCCAAAGUUACGGGGUCAUUCUGCCGAGUUCCUUCGACAUGUUUCCAUCCGUAUUUCAAAACCAUCAAUCUUGACUAACACAACUUCAUCUGUCUUUCCUUGUAAGAAGAAGUUCUCACUGCACAGUCAUAUAUAAGUAUCCAAUUUUACAAAUCACGCUAGAAGAACCUAAUAUCUCCAUUUUAAACCUUGGGUGAGAUAAUAUCAUGGCAGACAGCUAGGAUGAUUUGCUUUUCUUCAUUUUAUUCCUAGAGAUUGAGGUAGGACAAUUUCUACAAGGUAAAUACACAACACAAAAGACAAAGAUCAACAAAGUGACAUGAUAUUCAUACUUUCAAGAGUCCACGCUCCGGCUCCUCCCGAGAGUCAUGAAAAUAAAUGAGUCAGAGCCAAAUUAGGUGCCACACUUGAAUCAAUUGUCAGUACAUGUAAAUUCUCAUUUGGCUAUUUUCACUAUCAUUAAAUGUUAAAAAGGCUUAAUCUUUAUCACAAUCAUGUAUUCAUAACAAACAAAAACAAAUAAAUCACUUCUCAAUCUCAAAUUAGUUGGAGUAGUCUAUUUAAAUCAGCAAUUGAGGUGAAUUAAUUUGUCUUUAAUCGAAUUAAAGGUUCUCUAAGCUAGACCAUACGAACAAAAUAAGGUAGAAUGCAUCUUUAUACAUUGGCGUAAAAUGAGCAGAAGAGAAUAUGAAUACUUACAGCAAUGGCAGUACAAGCAGCACAUUUAUCUUCGAUACAGAGAGUAGCUGGUAAAACAGAUAAGAAAGCAAUAGCAACAAACAAAAUCGAUCUCAUAUAUGGCUUAAUCGCCAUUUGCGUUCUCUCCUUUUUCGUGUGAAUUUUUCCCGGUGCCGGAGAAUCGAAGGAGCUACGGCGGAGAAGUAUUUGUUUUUAAUGGGAACGGCGGUCCACGUCAUCGGAGUACCUUUGGUGUCAUCAUCCAAUAAUAAUGAGCCACGUUUGCCUUUUUCUUAUUUGAUUGCCACGUCGGAUUGAACUCGUUGCCAU
rnacentral:lncRNA from 1 species